rnacentral:tRNA from 1 species
GCCGGGUUAGCUCAGUUGGUAGAGCGGCUGAUUUGUAAUCAGUAGGUCGUUGGUUCAAAUCCGAUACCCGGCA